rnacentral:lncRNA from 1 species
GAGAGCAGGAGUGCCCAAUCUUCCCAUUGUUCGUACAGAUUCUCCCUGGUGGAUCCUAGCCUGACAGUGACCUCACAUCAUGCUAGCCGGCAGCUCAACUUCGCUCUGCAAGGAGAAUGACACCAGGUGGUUCUGACAAUGCGUCCAAGAGGAACUGAAUGUUACACUGGAUGCCACCGUGCCAAGGGCCAUCCUCUGUACUUCCGAGGCCCUGGACCUGUGUUCACCAGGAC